AGCGAGACGAACCCUUUUUUUCCCUCUCCUGUGUCGCUCAGCGCCGCUCCAUCGUCGCUCCGCCGCCCCCGUCUCCGCCGGCCUGACACCCAACGCCGCGCGGCCGAACCCUCCUCCGCCGGUCCCUGGUUCAGGACUGGGGCCGUAUUCGGUUGUCCGCACUCGUUCACUCCGCCGCCAGCCCGUCCCCUCUGCAGCUCUGCUGCCUGCUCACAGCCUGCCCCGCGCGGCGCGACCCGGCGACAGGAGUCAGCAGCCCUGAACGCAUCUCAGCUGCUCCCUCAGCUCCACCGUCGGCUCACAGGCGCUGGCCCACGCGUCGUCUUCGCCGGUUCUUGGAGCAUCUUAGGCUUGUGUGAAUAUGGCCUCUCCUGCUGAAAUGAUUGGAAAAAAUAUGCCUAGUCUUCAGAUUUUUCCUGCUAAUAUGGGAAAACAAAGGAUUAGUUUUAUCUCUGCAACAAGUCCUUCCUUGAGAAGGUCACGAAUGGUUCGACAUUCCUUGGACCUACGUCAUCUGUGCUGGUUUCCUUUUUUUUUUUUUCGAGAGCACGCAAAUUCCGAUCAGUGCCUGCUCAAAGUGCCACAGUAUCCAGGGGUGUUAAUAGUCAAUUGAUAGAGGAAUCUGUUAAUGACUUGGAAUUAGUUUCAAGGAUUAUUCACUUUUACCGCAAACCAUUUCUUCAGGAGAGUGAGACCAAGGAGUUACUUAGGAAAGUGCAGGCAAAGGUUUCUUCUAAUAUUAUUGACAUAAAGACCGAGCAAUGCUUCAAUGUUGAGUUGGAGAAUGCACUAAGUUCUGAGAAGCUGGCAACACUUCAGUGGCUCCUAGCUGAAACUUUUGAACCUGAGAACUUACAAACAGGGAGCUUUCUGGAGGAGAAAGUUUCUGGGAACCCUUAUUGUUUCGUCAUUGAAGUUGGUCCUCGGAUGACAUUUUCAACAGCUUUCUCGUCCAAUGCCGUAUCGAUUUGUCAAGCUCUAUCGUUAACAGAAGUAACUCGCUUGGAGAGAUCUAGAAGAUACCUGUUGUGCCUACAACCUGGUAGUUUCCCACUUGAUGAAAGCCAACUCAACGAUUUUUCUGCUUUGGUUCAUGACAGAAUGACAGAGUGUGUUUAUUCUAGCAAGCUCACAUCAUUUCGGUCAGAUGUAGUUCCAGAACCUGUCAGUGUUAUACCAGUCAUGGAAAAAGGAAGGCAAGCACUGGAGGAAAUAAAUCUUAAAAUGGGCUGGCUUUUGAUGAACAAGAUAUCUAAAGGUAUAAACGAUGCCCCCCAUAGGGGGUCUCACAGCGGUUAAAGCAGGUGGACCGUCGGAUCUUUACAGUGCCUAUCAGACAUGGCAUCUCGGCCGUUCGUUUCUGAACGUGGCGUGGCUUCUGGUUGGCUGCGGACCGCGCGCGAGGUUUUUACCGUCCGUCCCUAGUGCUAGGGAAAGCCAUGGAAUGGCCAUAGUCUACCCGCAUGUGUGUGUGCAUGGGCUCCACGGUCGUACGGGCCCGUGCGUCAGUCGCUGGGCUCGUUUUUUGGUUGCGCUCGCGUCGUGCCGGCCGCGGAAAAUAUCUUCUCCACCCGAGGUAGAUAGGGGGUGGUUUGGUCAUUUCAGUCGGUGGUCGGUGCGGGCUGCUCGGUGGCGGCGCGCCAUUAGCCCACGGGACGAGCUCUCACUGUGCGAGGCACCAUACCCACGGGCGUCGUCGCCUCUUGACCCUCGCGUCUUUCGCUCUGCCGUCGGCGUCCUCUCUUCCUUGCCCGCCUGGUCGCUGCGCUGUACAUCGGCUGUUGAUGCGCCGCGGAUCCGCCGUCGCCCGUGUCUGCCGACUGCUCCGCGCCGUCGGCGGUCGCUGGUGUUACUCCAUGGCGCCGUUCUUCCCUCGAUUUGGUUGAGGGUGCCGCCUCCAUUGAUUAGGGUUUGAUUGAGCUCGUGCUGCUCGUUUCAGGGUCGUUGAUUUGGUUACCUUUUUUGCUCCCCGAUCCCCGUUGCCUGCAAUUAUUUCUUCUCUCAGUCCUCUUGUUCCUCUGCCUGGAUUUGGAUUUAUUUUCCGCCGUCGCAGGUUGUCGCCUUGCUGGAAUUGCCGCCUCGGGUUCCAGCGGCUGCUUUAGUUGGACUGUUGUUCGGUUCCAUCCCUGGUGAGUGUGCUCUGCUCCAUCCUCCUAUGUAUCGGUGCAGCUGGAAGUGGGCGUGUAAUGGUGUACCGGUAGAGCCAGCAAACUGUGAGUGUGUGUGCGCAGGGUAGAUUGGAGCACUUCAUACCAGAUGAGAUGAACCCCACUUCCAACCAUAAUUGUAAUUAGCCAACGGAAGAGCUCUAUAAUAUUUUUAGCCACACCAUCGUAACUGUACAUGUUUCAUUCCCCAAUAAGAGAAGAUAAUUUUGUUUCCAGCAUGCAAUUUUUGUUUGUGCUUCUUUACUAGACAAAACGGACUAAUAGUGUUGCACUUCUGCUAAGAAGAAACUCAUUUGCCUCUCUAAUACAUUCAUUUUCUUGCUAUUAGAACUACCUUCUUAUAAUCUAUGGAGUAAAUCUUUCAGAUAUUUAAUAAGCAUAAAUGAAUGCCCUGCUAAGAAACAAAACAAGGGACUUGUCGAUGGUAAGCACAAGGGAAGACACUGAGGGAACUUGUGCACUCACUCUGGAACCUACCUACAAAUUUUAUUUUGUCUUGCGAUGAUGCUUCUGUACUUCGAUUGUAAGACUAGGGAAAACACUGAAGGAGCUUGUGCAGUGAGCUCGAGAGGGCAGGAGACCAUGGCGGCUAGGGUUUCCACACUUUCCCUGCACCGAUGUAGACGGUGAACCUGGACAUGGUUGUCCCCUGAUAGGUGAGUUUGGAGGCGAUGAUGGCCCGUGUUGCGCCGGAGAUGGAGGAUCCCUUCCACAACUUAAUUUUGUCCACGUCAAGCUCACCUGUAAAGAAGAGAGAGGAGAUGGAGCAGCGUAGGGAGGAAGAGGUGAAUCGGAAGAUAAUUUGUGGAUUGAUGUUUUGAAUUUGUGUAAUGGUUCUUUUCUCAUCUGGUCUACAAGGAUGUGUGGCUGAUGGCGACACCUGAUCCAGUGGUCACCAUGGUUAUCGCCGUCAGCGGUUCUCCUUGUCUUCAGGAGUACUUUCGAAAGGUCUUCAGAUGUUAAGCCUAUCAAGAAUAAUAUCUCAAUUAUCAAAGACCUUAGAGAACUAAGACUUCAUCUAUAAUAGAAUCUCAAUAAUUGGCCAUGGUUUGGCUUUUGGCUGGUAACAACGUUAGUGAGGUAGAUGUCCUUCACCCCCUUCUGAAGCUAAAGGUUCCGGACUGGUGCCACAACAAUCUCUGGGACGAGGAGGAUAUACAGAGGGAGAUGAAGCGAUAAGAGGGGUCUCACGUAAAUCAGACAAGUUGCCUUUGGUUGGCUCAACAGCCACCUGCGACCGCGGUUGUGAAUAUAAGCACAUGGAACUCUGGCCAUGGUGUUGCAGGGAGGCGACGACGAGGCUUGUGUCCAGGUUCGUGGGCCACUUGUACAUUGCAGUUGUUGUAGCACAAAUAUCGUCUUCCUUCACAUAUAGACUAACUAACUCCCCAUUAUUAAAUAGGUUUCGUAUAUGGUGGAGUAUUCAAGAUUUAUAAAAUUAGGGCAACAAUUAUGGAGAUAUUCAAGCAGAAGAGACAACUAGAAGAUGUUUUUAACUGAUAUGUUAUCUUAUCAUAAACAUAUUCAGAGUAAAAAUGAUGGUACGGAGUAUGAUAUUGUACCCUGUUCCAGCUUGUUUCUGGUUGGUCCGUAUCCAUUUCUUCUAUUUUAUUACUUAACAGCAUUCCAUUUGUUUAUUUAGUUGGCCAUUCCAGGCUUAACUCUGGCGCACAAAACAAAUAUUUCUCUAUGAAUUUGUGCUUACUGUAUGGAUGUAAAACUAAUGUUUUCUUCUCCUAUUUGAUGUGAAAAUAUUCUCUUAAUCUUGCAGGUUUAUUACUAUUUCAGUUUGCUACUCAUUCUGAUCCAACGGAACUAAAUCAAUGGGUUUGAAGUUGUCGUGCAUGUCAGUUUAGCAUAUAUCCAUAUUUGUAUCAAUAACCUUAUAGGUUGUGUUCAGUUCUUAGUGCUUAUAGUUCAAUGACACUGCUAUGUGUGGUUGUCGCAAGGAGUUUAUUGGCUGGAAGAUGGUCAGGCUACUUGCCAAUAAAUUUUGCUGGAAGAUAUCUCAAUAAUUACUUCAAAGUUGCUAGCAUGUAAGGAACCAAUAGAUAGAAACAAUUCUCAGGUAAUCGAACCAACGUACAACUAUCAUCUUCCUUGUUUUGGGUUUUCCAUAUGAAGGGAACUGACAUCACUGGGUGUAUUCCGGGUCUCACCACAUGCUAAAAACCUGUAAGUGUAUGCUUCAUUGCAUUCAGUUGUUCGUUUCCCUAGGAAAAACUAUCAUCUUCCUUAUUUUGGGUUCCCAUAUUCUUAGAAAUGGGUGUGGCAAACACCAAAAAGUAGGUUGCCACUUCGUUUAUUGAUCUUGUGUGUUGCCAAGUGUGCUUGGUUGCCUCUGUGCAUAUUGAGAUGUACCAGUUAUGCAGAUAUAAUUAGGUGCUUGAAACGUCGUGAUCCUAUUUCCAUGAACAAAUGCAUGUUUUGGUAAGCCAUAUGUGUUAAGUUUACCCCUACUUGGUUGGACUAAAAAGUGAUCAUGAAUGGACUGUACACUAUUUUUGUAGAAUGAUCAUUGAAGUUGAAGAGUGGACAUUCUGCACUUGCAAUGUUUUCCUUACUCUUCAAUUUUUUAAAUUGCAAUGCCCUCUACUGGCUGCUAUUUAUUCUGAGAAAGCAUAUGGACACGUUAUGUUUCUUGAUGUAUUCAUUAGUGGCUUCGCUCCCAUUUGUACCUGUGGGAAAUAACUACUGCUUUGUUUUCUUUUUCUGUAGGCAAGAAAGGGUCUGAGUGGCAUCUGAACUUGCUGCUGGUAAUCAGCAACCAAUGCUUUCCAGGUAGGGAUAACAUUUCAGUGGGCACAAAGCAUCCAUUUUUCAUGCUCACAAUCUUGCAGUUAAGUUUAGUCAUGCCAGAGAAAAUCAUAGACCCACAAAUAGUAACAGGACCAUGUGGUUUUCAAGUCGUCUAGAUACAACGUUAUUUAUGGAUUUUUCUUGUUCUUUUUUCCUUACAUCUGAAUCGUGUCAUGCCUAGAAAUUAUAUGCGGCUUUCCCAUCGAUCACUGAUGUGACACGCGAUAGGCAGGACCACAUGGAUAUUCUUCACAAUGACAGGAAAAGCAUGGAAUUCAGAAGUAAAUGAUUCCAAGAUGGACACUAAGAAUACGAUAGAAGAGAAGAAUUUGCACAAAAUUUUCGUAACCUUCAGCUUUCAUUGUUUCAUCAUAUGCACUGCUUAGUUUAUUUCACUGUCAAGUUAAAGUAUCCACCGAAUGGUUGGCUUAUGUACAUUCCUUCAUAGAGCAUAAUUAGAUAGCCAACACAAAUAUCCUCAAGUUAAAGAAUGUUUGACUUGAAAACUUUCCAGAAUUACUCUUGAGUAAUGGUUUUGCAUCCUAAGCCUGAUACUUUACGGGCUUAUGACACUUAUCUUUCCAGAAGUAGUUAGUACUGUGUUUUUUGUGCCUUUCUACCGUAUGUUUUUGGGAGUAUAUGUCUGCAGGCAACAAGUGUAUAAGGAGUUUCUCUUUAUGUUUCCUGAUUUAUGUUGCUUCUUAUUGCUCUAGAAAGACAACUUUAUAGUGAACUACUAUGUCUACAAGAUUUUCUCUACCUACAACCGUUCAGUUUCUGAUUAUUAAUCAGGCUACCAAAGGAUAGCUUUACUUAUAUUUCAGAGCUAAAGUAUGCUUUGAAAUGUCAUAGUUCUUUUCCUCUAGCUUUUGCUUCUUGGUUUCCUAUUUUAGUUCAGAUCUGCGCUGAUAGUUCAGCUUCUCGCGACAGUAGAAAGAAACUAAAUUUCUACGAUAUUGUGCAGCUCAAAUUACAGAUUCUAGCAUAUGUUGCUUCACAAUACGCAAGGAAGGAUAACAUACAUGUCGGUGUUAGCUGAAUCUGCACCCGAUUGAAUUGUUCUUUCGGUUGCUCCUAUCUCCCGUUUCUUCCUGUGGCAACAGCUUGCUCACGACAUGAUGCAAGCUUCUUCCUCUCUGGUUCCUCUAUCUCGAGUUUAAAGUGUUUUUCCCUGAAAUUAUAUUUCUUGCCCCUUAUUGGAUAUUUUCAGUUUUGCCUUUCAUUUCUUGGACUCCAAACUGCAGCGCCUUGGAUGACACACAUGCCGUGGCUACUGAUCUUAAUCAAUAAGCGUUGGAGUCCCAUGACAUGCUCAAGACCAUAGGGGCUUUUUCUAUAUUUGACUGAGUCUGAAUCAUCCGUGUUUAAUGUUUCGUCUGAAUUAUAUGUAAAUAAUGGAACAACUCUCUGCGAACCCAGAUGAGAUGCCUCCGUGUUAUUUCGGAACCAUGUAUUAGUAUAUGUAUGUAAUAUAUUUUCCCUGUUUUCUCCUCUUCAUCAGCUGAUAAUUUUUCUUUGUAUCAAGAAAAUGAAAUUGAUAACUGCUCUGCUAAAUGUUGUCGUCUGGUUUGCACAUCUUAUAUAAAAAAUGAGGUCUAUGUGAAUA